UACGAAGGGGGCUAGCGUUGUUCGGAAUUACUGGGCGUAAAGGGCGCGUAGGCGGUUUGUCGCGUCUGCUGUGAAAACUGGAGGCUCAACCUCCAGCCUGCAGUGGGUACGGGCAGACUAGAGUGCGGUAGGGGAGAUUGGAAUUCCUGGUGUAGCGGUGGAAUGCGCAGAUAUCAGGAGGAACACCGAUGGCGAAGGCAGAUCUCUGGGCCGUAACUGACGCUGAGACGCGAAAGCUAGGGGAGCGAACAGG
rnacentral:rRNA from 1 species